UUGCCUCUGCAGAUGUUUCCUGGUUCUGUAGUCCCGUGACGUCACACUCCACGCGAGAAAGAAAAAGAAAACAAACGAGACUUCUUCGACCCAACUCCGAGCGUGGUCCUAUGGAACGGCUCUGGGAGGUUUGGAAGGAGGAACCUGAGCUGUGGGCGGAGCCUCUGCUUUGGUGAGGCUUGCAGGUGUGAGGAGCCGCGAACAAGAUGACGUCAUGUUCGAGUGCGGCGCAUUCAAUGACCGGAAAAGGCGGCGUUCAAAGACUCCUGGCUUUAGCCCCUGAAUUCCUUGCGGGUUGCAAGAACACUUGCACUUGGCUGACGUUCUUUUCUCUAAAGAUACAGAUCAGUCUCAGGGAUUGAACCUGGCAACCCUAUUAGGGGUCAAAGGUGUUACAUAUGAAUGCUGUAUAAACUUUUCAUAUAUCACAGCUGAAGAAAGGAUUCAUUCCCAUCCCAUCCUACAGAAAUUCACACUGUGUCAGAAUUUUUCUGCUCAUUCCAUUGAGAAAUUGAUAAAAUUAAACCAUUUAGCAUUAAUCAUGUCUUGAAAAGGUGGGUUUUCAGGAGGAUUUGAUGGUAGGAAGAGGAGCAGGCAUCACAAGGGUGGUUCCAAGCAUACAGGCCAUCAAGGGAGAAAAGCUGGAGUCUUGGGGAAGCAGGAAAUCUGCAAACUGAGGAUUACUUUUCACACAUGAAGUGGGUUCUAGUUCACAAAAGCUUAAGCUGCAUAUAUAUGUUAGUCUUCAAGAGUGCACCAAGACUCAGUUGUGUUUUUGUUUCAACAGACUGUCAGAGCAAUACUAUAUGGACAUAACACCAGGACCAGAGAUGCCCCUGUGACCAGGAGAGAAGGGGAAAUACACAUACAACCAGGGAAAAACAAAAUUGAUGUGAAAACAACAGACUGCCCACAGCAUCCCUGGAAACACUGCCAUAACCCACCAGUCAGGGACUGUGCCAGUGAUGGCACACACAGACAGAGGCAGCCAUUUAAUUCACAAGGGUGGGGGGACAUCCCUCCGGCACACACAUUCCUGCAUCACAACUCACAAGCUUGUAUUAUUUCUAAAUGUUUUUAUGUUGCUGUACACUGCCCUGAUGUUUUGUGAGAGGGUGGUAUAUAAAUAUUUUUAAUAAAUAAAUAAAUAAGA